rnacentral:lncRNA from 13 species
AUGUCUGCAUCUCUGCUGAUUCCUCACUUCCCCAACAGUUUUCUUCUCCUAGGAUCCAGUCCUGAGGUCUCAGCUGCCAACUAUUCCUGGAUAAGCAAAUGCUCUCAGGGGAAAGAGUCCUUGAUUCUCCGUGUUCAUGGAGCAAACGUGUUGUCAGGAAAGAGCCUGAAGAACCCAUUGCUCCCACUCUGAGGAGGAGGGAAUGCUGCACCCGCCGCAACUGACCUGUUUCCAGAUUGAGGCCUGACCACACAGAUAACACAGUCUCUAAAAGCAGAAAGCAGAUUUCAGACAAGCCGCAGAGGUAAAACCAGCUCUAGAGGGAAGGAAUUGAUUUCCGCCCAGGAAACCUGCACAGAAUGUACAAUCCCAUCGUUGUCCAUGCACCCGGCAUCGCCAAUAAACAGGUUUCCCAGUCCUCCCUGCA